GUGCUUGUUUCAACAGCACGUAUACUAACAUCAGAAUGCUACAGAGAAGAUUAGCAUGGCCCCUGGGCAAGGAUGACACAAAAAUUCUAAAAAAAAAUCAAAAGCCU
rnacentral:snRNA from 1 species